rnacentral:rRNA from 1 species
CCUACGGGCGGCAGCAGUAGGGAAUAUUGCUCAAUGGGGGAAACCCUGAAGCAGCAACGCCGCGUGGGGGAUGAAGGUUUUCGGAUUGUAAACUCCUUUUGUUAGAGAAGAUAAUGACGGUAUCUAACGAAUAAGCACCGGCUAACUCCGUGCCAGCAGCCGCGGUAAUACGGAGGGUGCAAGCGUUACUCGGAAUCACUGGGCGUAAAGAGCGCGUAGGCGGGAUAGCAAGUCAGACGUGAAAUCCUAGGGCUUAACCAUAGAACUGCAUUUGAAACUGUUAUUCUAGAGUAUGGGAGAGGUAGGUGGAAUUCUUGGUGUAGGGGUAAAAUCCGUAGAGAUCAAGAGGAAUACUCAUUGCGAAGGCGACCUGCUAGCACAUAACUGACGCUGAUGCGCGAAAGCGUGGGGAGCAAACAGGAUUAGAUACCCGAGUAGUC